rnacentral:rRNA from 1 species
CUACGGGCCGCUGCAGUGAGGAAUAUUGCACAAUGGGGGGAACCCUGAUGCAGCAACGCCGCGUGGAGGAUGACGCAUUUCGGUGUGUAAACUCCUUUUAUAUGUCAAGAAAAUGACGGUAGCAUAUGAAUAAGCACCGGCUAACUCCGUGCCAGCAGCCGCGGUAAUACGGAGGGUGCAAGCGUUACUCGGAAUCACUGGGCGUAAAGGACGCGUAGGCGGGUUGGAAAGUCAGGUGUGAAAUCCUACAGCUUAACUGUAGAACUGCACUUGAAACUUCUAAUCUAGAGUAUGGGAGGGGAAGAUGGAAUUAGUGGUGUAGGGGUAAAAUCCGUAGACAUCACUAGGAAUACCUAAAGCGAAGGCGAUCUCCUGGAACAUUACUGACGCUAAGGCGUGAAAGCGUGGGGAGCAAACAGGAUUAGAUACCCCCGUAGUC